CUGCAAAUAGUGACCAUCCUGAACGGACCUAGUCUCGUCUGAUCUUGGAAGCUAAGCAGGGUCAGGCCUGGUUAGUACUUGGAUGGAAGAAUGGGUCAUUUGUGAA
rnacentral:rRNA from 1 species